GCCGCUAUAGUUAAGGGGCAUAACAGUUGAUUCGUAAUCAUCAAUCCCAAGUUCGAUUCUUGGUAGCGGCACCA
rnacentral:tRNA from 1 species